AUCGGGGGGGAGGAAAGUCCGGGCUCCACUGGGCAGGGUGCUGGGUAACUCCCAGGCCCCGAUGACCGGAUUCCGGGAAUCGGGGACGGAAAGUGGCACAGAAACAUACCGUCCCGGCUUGUCGGGACAAGGGUGAAAUCGGACGGUAAGAGCGUCCGGUCGUCUGCGGUGACGUAGCGACGGCCAAACCCCACCUGGAGCAAGGCCGAAUAGGGGGACUAUGGGUGUCCGGCCCGUCCCCGGGUUGGCUGCUUGACCCCGAUGGAAACAUCGUCCCGCCUUGCGCGGGAACCCGGUGGCCCCUGCGGCUAUCGGGGGGGCUAGAUAGAUGGCCACCGUCCUUCCUCAAGGAAGGAUACAGAACCCGGCUUAUAGGUUUAAAUGGCUC
rnacentral:RNase_P_RNA from 1 species